UACAGAGGUCCCAAGCGUUGUUCGGAUUCACUGGGCGUAAAGGGUGCGUAGGUGGUUGGGUAAGUCUGAUGUGAAAUCUCCGGGCUCAACCCGGAAAUGGCAUUGGAUACUAUUCGGCUAGAGGUUUGGAGGGGGGACUGGAAUUCUCGGUGUAGCAGUGAAAUGCGUAGAUAUCGAGAGGAACACCAGUGGCGAAGGCGGGUCUCUGGGCCGAUACUGACGCUGAGGAGCGAAAGCGUGGGGAGCGAACAGG
rnacentral:rRNA from 1 species